GGAGAUAUAAUAGACACAAAACAAUGUGCCUAGGUUAGAGCAAAGAGAAGAAGAAGAGGGUCUUCUUCUUGGGUUGCUGAGUUCACCUCUUCCCUUCCUCCAUAUGUGAGUUUUCUGAGAGUGUCUCAUCUAAAACUCCUUCUCCUACUUCUUAUCUUUAGAAGAGUCCAAAUCAAAAAGAAGGAGGUAUCUGAUCAACCAUCGAAGAAGGAUCAGCACAGUACUAGUAUACUAUGCUGAUUUUCUGGACCAGAACUUCUGAUCGUGAUUCGCGGGCUCGUGUGGAUGACUCCUAGAGACCAGAUGCAUGUGUGGCUCAUAAC
rnacentral:lncRNA from 1 species